rnacentral:tRNA from 1 species
GGAGAGGUGCCGGAGCGGUUGAACGGGGCGGUCUCGAAAACCGUUGAGCCUUCGCGGGCUCCCAGGGUUCGAAUCCCUGCCUCUCCG